rnacentral:rRNA from 1 species
UAGGGGUCAAAGAUUUAUCGGUGUAAGAAGGGCUCGCGUCUGAUUAGCUAGUUGGAAGGGUAAAGGCCUACCAAGGCGACGAUCAGUAGCCGGUCUGAGAGGAUGAACGGCCACAUUGGAACUGAGACACGGUCCAAACUCCUACGGGAGGCAGCAGUGGGGAAUAUUGCACAAUGGGGGGAACCCUGAUGCAGCGAC